UUCACAGAGCAUGUACAUGUACUGGUUGUACUUGGGAACAAACAAGUGACAUUUUUGUAUUGCUGUUCAGAACAUGAUGAAAAAUGCCUGCCCCCUUAGACCCAAAUCAUUAAUCUUCAUCUUUGAGGAUCAGGUCUUUGGUAUAGAGGAGCACCUUUGUGUUUGUCCAGGUCACAGCUGUGCAAACAGGAAUCUUGGCAUGAGUAGCUUCGACAUUUAUUUAUACAAAAGGAAGAAAAAAAGAGGUUAAAGUCUUUAAAACAUAGACUUUUGGAUUCUCCUGUGAAGAUGACCACUUGGCACAUCAUAGCAGGUAUCCAAGUUCCAGUCCUGGAUAGCUUUCCAGUCUGGUGUUUUUCUUGCCUCUUCAUGACCUCGUGUCUUGAGCAGCCUAGCUGGAUCCCCUGGUUCCUGUUUCUUCUUGUUUCAAAAUUCUGCUUUCACCUGUUUUAUACCCCCUACCCUUUUAUAUUCAUAUACAUACAUCAGGCUUUUACUACCUGUUCUGGUCUUCACUGGUUUUUCUAAGACUUUGGGUUCCAUCCAAUAUUUUCCACAUGGCACUGUUGUCUUAGAUUCCGUGCCAUAGUGGAAUGAGUUUCUCUUGUAAAUAUCUCAGUUAUGCUUCGGAGAUUUCAGGAACCUGAUGGUCCUCCUCUGCAUUUUUAUUCUGCUACUUUGUCUUGCUGUAAGUAGACACUGGAGAAGUGAAGGCUGUAUCUUCUCCUGCUCCUCUUACAAAGCACAUGUAUAAACUUUUUUAAAGAAGCAAGAGUGCUUAUGGGGAAUAAGUGAAGUGAAUGUGUUCUGGAGGUAAAAAAAGCAAACAGUCCCCCCCAUCAACACAUCUCUCGGACAUGUUUAGAUUCAUGAGAUGUUCUGCUCCUUCCUGUCCUUAUUAGGAAAUGCAGACGCAUGCUUCCAGGCUAAAUGUAGUUCCUCCUUUUUUUUUUUUUUUUUUUUAAUUCCCCCCUUCUGUCAAAUAAUUUCUGUAUUUUUGUUCAAUUUUGUAUCAUUUUUGAGAAGUCUUCCUGUGCAAGUGCUCACCUAUGGAAUCCCUUGCGCUCCACAUUGCAAGAGAAUCACUGCUGGAUAGAAUGUGUCUUAGACUCAUCUUAAAUAUGUUUUGCUUUCUUGUAUAAAACACUCCCUUAAAAAUAAUCUUUUGAA